rnacentral:tRNA from 1 species
UCCCUGAUAGCUCAGUUGGUAAAGAAUCUGCCUGCAAUGCAGGAGACCUAGGUUCAAUCCCUGGGUUGGGAA